AUAUCAAUAAGCGGAGGAAAAGAAACCAACCGGGAUUGCCUCAGUAACGGCGAGUGAAGCGGCAAGAGCUCAAAUUUGAAAGCUGGCCCCUUCGGGGUCCGCGUUGUAAUUUGCAGAGGAUGCUUCGGGUGCGGCCCCUGUCUAAGUGCCCUGGAACGGGCCGUCAGAGAGGGUGAGAAUCCCGUCUUGGGCAGGGUGCCCGUGCCCGUGUGAAGCUCCUUCGACGAGUCGAGUUGUUUGGGAAUGCAGCUCUAAAUGGGUGGUAAAUUUCAUCUAAAGCUAAAUACCGGCCGGAGACCGAUAGCGCACAAGUAGAGUGAUCGAAAGAUGAAAAGCACUUUGAAAAGAGAGUUAAACAGCACGUGAAAUUGUUGAAAGGGAAGCGCUUGCGACCAGACUCGGCCCCGGGGUUCAGCCAGCACUCGUGCUGGUGUACUUCCCCGGGGGCGGGCCAGCGUCGGUUUGGGCGGCCGGUCAAAGGCCCCAGGAAUGUAUCGCCCUCCGGGGUUGUCUUAUAGCCUGGGGUGCAAUGCGGCCAGCCCGGACCGAGGAACGCGCUUCGGCACGGACGCUGGCGUAAUGGUCGCAAACGAC
rnacentral:rRNA from 1 species